UACAGAGGGGGCAAGCGUUGUUCGGAAUUACUGGGCGUAAAGGGCGCGUAGGCGGCCUGUUAAGUCGAACGUGAAAUCCCCGGGCUCAACCCGGGAACUGCGUCCGAUACUGGCAGGCUUGAAUCCGGGAGAGGGAUGCGGAAUUCCAGGUGUAGCGGUGAAAUGCGUAGAUAUCUGGAGGAACACCGGUGGCGAAGGCGGCAUCCUGGACCGGUAUUGACGCUAAGGCGCGAAAGCCAGGGGAGCAAACGGG
rnacentral:rRNA from 1 species